AAAUGGCUUGCCGAAUUCUUGUGUCUGCUGCUCCCAGGCCGUCAGAAAGCUUAUCGGUAUUUCUCCCAAAGACAUAUAUAUUGAAUCAUCAUCUCCAAGCACUCCCUCUCCAUUAUGCGGGCCCAUAUCAUUGUGAAAAGAAUUCAUAUUUUCUGGUACAGAAGAACAUCUUGGUAUAUCAUCCCCAAGCAAUUCUGAUAUCAUCAGUCCAUAACCGUCCUGAACAUCAGUAGUAUCGUUGGUACCAUGGGGGUUAUUAGAAAAUCCAUCUG
rnacentral:misc_RNA from 1 species